rnacentral:lncRNA from 1 species
UUAUUUUUCCAAAGCAGGAACCUUUUGAAGAUGUGUGUUCUCAUGACAAGGCAAACUAUCAUUCCAUCUGGAAGCACCAGUGUCAUCACAGAAGUUUUUGUUCAGUGCUUGUACAAGGAGAUCAAGAAUAAACUGUAUGCAGCAGAAACUGGCUUUCCAAUAAGAAGAAAUUUUUCAGAGAUUUUUCUUGUGAAAAUUAAAUGACAACAAACGUUGAUUAAGAUUGCUACAUCAAAAAAAUGGUUUUAGAAGGAUUUGCUGCCAAUUAAAAUAGGGUGAG